CAGUCGCCGCGGUAAUACGAAGGGUGCAAGCGUUACUCGGAAUUACUGGGCGUAAAGCGUGCGUAGGUGGUGGUUUAAGUCCGUUGUGAAAGCCCUGGGCUCAACCUGGGAAUUGCAGUGGAUACUGGGUCACUAGAGUGUGGUAGAGGAUAGUGGAAUUUCCGGUGUAGCAGUGAAAUGCGUAGAGAUCGGAAGGAACAUCUGUGGCGAAGGCGACUAUCUGGGCCAACACUGACACUGAGGCACGAAAGCGUGGGGAGCAAACAGGAUUAGAUCCCCAGUAGUCCCUGUCUCUUAUACA
rnacentral:rRNA from 1 species